rnacentral:snRNA from 1 species
AUCGCUUCUCGGCCUUUUGGCUAAGAUCAAAGUUUAGUUUCUGUUCUUAUCGAAUUAACCUUCGAUAGAGAUUCGAAUGAAUCUCGUUAAGGUUAUUUGAUUUUUGAGACCGGACGAGGUUGUGGGCUUGCUCGCACCUCGUCACGGGUCGGCCCAGCGUUGCACUGCUGCUGGGAUCGGCCCACCCCUC